GGUUCCAUGGUGUAGUGGUUAGCACAUCUGCCUUACACGCAGAAAUCCUGGGUUCAAACCCCAGUGGAACCA